rnacentral:rRNA from 1 species
GACGAAGGGUGCUAGCGUUGUUCGGAAUUACUGGGCGUAAAGCGCGUGUAGGCGGUUAUUUAAGUCUGGUGUGAAAGCCUUGAGCUCAACUCAAGAAAUGCACUCGAUACUGGGUGACUUGAGGACCGGAGAGGAUAGUGGAAUUCCCAGUGUAGUGGUGAAAUACGUAGAGAUUGGGAAGAACACCAGUGGCGAAGGCGGCUAUCUGGACGGUUUCUGACGCUAAGACGCGAAAGCGUGGGGAGCAAACAGG